rnacentral:tRNA from 1 species
AAGCUAUGGGUUCAUACCCCAAUCAUAAAGGUCUAAAUCCUUUUCUUU